rnacentral:rRNA from 1 species
AUUGAACGCUGGCGGCAGGCCUAACACAUGCAAGUCGAGCGGAGCGGCGGACGGGGGAGUAAUGCCUAGGAAUCUGCCUGGUAGUGGGGGAUAACGUCCGGAGACGGGCGCUAAUACCGCAUACUAUCAGAUGAGACUAGGUCGGCUUAGCUAGUUGGUGGGGUAAAGGCAUACCAAGGGGACGAUACGUAACUGGUCUGAGAGGAUGAUCAGUCACACUGGAACUGAGACACGUCCCAGACUCCUACGUGAGGCAGCAGUGGGGAAUAUUGGACAAUGGGCGAAAGCCUGAUCCAGCCAGGCCGCGUGUGUGAAGAAGGUUUUCGGAUUGUAAAGCACUUUAAGUUGGGAGGCGUUACCAACAGAAUAAGCACCGGCUAACUUCGUGCCAGCAGCCGCGGUAAUAC